CAGCUUCAAAUUACCUACAGGUGGUGCUCAUCAGAGUGUGUGCUGCAGACGGUGCUGCUACAAAAGAGCAGAGUGAACACUGCUUGAGCAGGCUAACUUCUCGCCCUGCUCCAGACUGGCAUUGUGGUUCUUGUUGAUGGUGCAAGGUUAAAAUAGUUGUUUUUCAAGUGAUAAGACCUGAAAGUCCUCUCCUGAAGACAUUUAUUGCUUCCCUUUCUAAAUAAAUUCUUUAUAUGGUCAAACUAAGUGGUGGUUGCAUUUUCUGGAGCAGAGGACUGAGACUGGGCAAGGGGAUCGUAACAAGUGGGGGCUCGUCUGUUCGUCUUUUAAUUGGAUAUUGGUAAGUACUCUCUUUCUCGCAAAUUGUUUGACUGUUUUCGACUUUACUGAGUACAACUGAGGCCUUUAAUCGUUGUAAGAAAAAAGAUCUUAUUUUGGUGGCAGAGUUCUUCCAUAUUGACAUUCGAAAAGAUGUUACAAAACAAGUGCUUAAGGAUGACCUGUUUGGGAAAUUGGUAAAUGCGGGUAUUUUACCAGAAGAGUCUGAGGGUGGUGUUGAGGUUCAGUCUGAAGCGGUAGUGGAAACUGCAGCUGAAAAUUUGAAUCUCAGCUCUGGCUCUGUGGUGUCUCAUGAUCCUAGGAUUGCCAUAAAGUUAAAGGAAAUGGAGCUUUUGAUUAAAAAACAGGAAUGUGAGGUGGAAAUGAUUAGGCUUCGUGUAGUAGAGAAGCAGGCUGACCGAGAUAUCCAAAUACGUAAAUUGGAUCUCGAAGCAAAGCAACUGGCUCAAAAGCCAGUCCCAUCCCCACGUACUAGACCUCCAGUCUCAUCACCCUUAAAGUCUUCUGGCAGUACAGACACGC
ensembl:lncRNA